rnacentral:rRNA from 1 species
CCUACGGGAGGCAGCAGUGGGGAAUAUUGCACAAUGGGGGAAACCCUGAUGCAGCGACGCCGCGUGAGUGAAGAAGUAAUUCGUUAUGUAAAGCUCUAUCAGCAGGGAAGAAAAUGACGGUACCUGAGUAAGAAGCCCCGGCUAACUACGUGCCAGCAGCCGCGGUAAUACGUAGGGGGCAAGCGUUAUCCGGAUUUACUGGGUGUAACGGGAGCGUAGACGGCAGUGCAAGUCUGGAGUGAAAGGCGGGGGCUCAACCCCCGGACUGCUCUGGAAACUGUACGGCUGGAGUGCAGGAGAGGUAAGUGGAAUGCCUAGUGUAGCGGUGAAAUGCGUAGAUAUUAGGAGGAACACCAGUGGCGAAGGCGGCUUACUGGACUGUAACUGACGUUGAGGCUCGAAAGCGUGGGGAGCAAACAGGAUUAGAUACCCGAGUAGUC